GCGCUCACUUCGGCAGCACAUAGACUAAAAUCGGAACGAUACAGAGAUUAGCAUGGCCUCUGCUCACGGAUGACACGCAAAUUCGUGAAGCGUUCCGUAUUUUU